rnacentral:lncRNA from 1 species
CCAACCACGUGUUCACAAAAAGGCAUCCUCGGUUUCUGUCCAAAAUGAUCUCUUCCUUUAGAGAUGGCUGUUUGGUUCUGAUGAGGGCUUGGGCUCUCCUCUCCCCUAACCAGACAUAGACGGCUGAAGUAUCUUCCCAAGUAUCCGUCUCCCCAGCCCGUGUCAAUGGGCAGCACACAGGAGCAGACCCAACGGUUAUGACCCAGGUCCAAGGUCAGGCUGCUCAAAACCUGCUUCUCACUCCCCAGCAGACCAAGCCUCUAGCUAGUCCCUCACAGACUGCCUGUCUACACGUGGCUACCCAUGGUACCCUAGCCGUGCUACUGAGGAGGAAGAGCAGGGCAUAGCAUCUACGGUGAGGCUGGCUUCAGCUAUGUGAGUCUAGACUCCAGAGAAUGAGCUAGCCAAAGUCACAGCAGAGACGGCCUGACGAUCUGGGAGCUGCUGAGCUGAUCCUGCUUCCUAUGCCACCUGGUACUCUGGCCACUCAUUCGGAAUAAGGAGUCCAGUGCCCCCUGCUUUAACCGGAAGAGUCAAGUGAAGCCACAGCACGGCCCCCGGCGCCAGAGAUGCCGCCUGCCGGAGGCCCUGGGCAGCCACAGGAUCUGCAGUCGUGCAAAUGAUUAAUGUCAGCUUCGCGGAGGGCUAGGGUCCACAGGAAAUUGGAGUGGAUGAAUUUAAGAGAGAAACCCCUUGUUUAAACA